rnacentral:misc_RNA from 1 species
UUGUUUUGUUAAGAUAACAAGACGUUCUUCACACAAUGUUUGUAGUAAUGUAAGCGGCCCGGAGGCCAAAAACGGUUCACAGGUGCUAGGAUUAUUGAUAAGACCCUCAAGGUCAACCAUUAAUGAUCCUUCCGCAGGUUCACCUACGGAAA